rnacentral:rRNA from 1 species
GGUGCAUGGUUGUCGUCAGCUCGUGUCGUGAGAUGUUCGGGUUAAGUCCCGCAACGAGCGCAACCCUCGACCUUAGUUGCCAGCAUUCAGUUGGGCACUCUAAGGUGACUGCCGGCUAAAAAGUCGGAGGAAGGUGGGGAUGACGUCAAAUCAUCAUGCCCCUUAUGACCUGGGCUACACACGUGCUACAAUGGGCGGUACAAAGGGUCGCGAAACCCGCGAGGGGGGAGCCAAUCCCAAAAAGCCGCUCUCAGUUCGGAUUGCAGGCUGCAACUCGCCUGCAUGAAGCCGGAAUCGCUAGUAAUCGCGGAUCAGCAUGCCGCGGUCGAAUACGUUCCCGGGCCUU